rnacentral:tRNA from 1 species
UAUAGCUCAGUGGUAAAGUACUUGCCUAGGAUGCACGAGACCCUGGGUUAAAUCCCCAGUA